rnacentral:rRNA from 1 species
GACGAACGCUGGCGGCGUGCCUAAUACAUGCAAGUUGAGCGCUGAAGGUUGGUACUUGUACCAACUGGAUGAGCAGCGAACGGGUGAGUAACGCGUGGGGAAUCUGCCUUUGAGCGGGGGACAACAUUUGGAAACGAAUGCUAAUACCGCAUAAAAACUUUAAACACAAGUUUUAAGUUUGAAAGAUGCAAUUGCAUCACUCAAAGAUGAUCCCGCGUUGUAUUAGCUAGUUGGUGAGGUAAAGGCUCACCAAGGCGAUGAUACAUAGCCGACCUGAGAGGGUGGUCGGCCACAUUGGGACUGAGACACGGCCCAAACUCCUACGGGAGGCAGCAGUAGGGAAUCUUCGGCAAUGGACGAAAGGCUGACCGAGCAACGCCGCGUGAGUGAAGAAGGUUUUCGGAUCGUAAAACUCUGUUGGUAGAGAAGAACGUUGGUGAGAGUGGAAAGCUCAUCAAGUGACGGUAACUACCCAGAAAGGGACGGCUAACUACGUG